CAGUAGCCACGGUAAUACGUAGGUCCCGAGCGUUGUCCGGAUUUAUUGGGCGUAAAGCGAGCGCGGGCGGUUAGAAAAGUCUGAAGUGAAAGGCAGUGGCUCAACCAAUGUAUGCUUUGGAAACUGUUAGACUUGAGUGCAGAAGGGGAGAGUGGAAUUCCAUGUGUAGCGGUGAAAUGCGUAGAUAUAUGGAGGAACACCGGUGGCGAAAGCGGCUCUCUGGUCUGUCACUGACGCUGAGGCUCGAAAGCGUGGGUAGCGAGCAGGAUUAGAUACCCCCGUAGUCCCUGUCUCUUAUACC
rnacentral:rRNA from 1 species